GAUGAAGAACGUAGCGAAAUGCGAUAAGUAGUGUGAAUUGCAGAAUUCAGUGAAUCAUCGAAUCUUUGAACGCACAUUGCGCCCCUUGGUAUUCCAUGGGGCAUGCCUGUUCGAGCGUCAUUUGUACCUUCAUGCUCUGCUUGGUGUUGGGUGUUUGUCUCGCCUCUGCGUGUAGACUCGCCUCAAAACAAUUGGCAGCCGGCGUAUUGAUUUCGGAGCGCAGUACAUCUCGCGCUUUGCACUCAUAACGACGACGUCCAAAAGUACAUUUUUACACUCUUGACCUCGGAUCAGGUAGGGAUACCCGCUGAACUUAAGCAUAUCAAUAAGCGGAGGA
rnacentral:misc_RNA from 1 species